GGCGUCAUUCGUUUUUGACAUAAAUAUAUAUGAAAAUUAAUGUAGUGCUCUCACACUUUAGUCUCCUAAAUUAUUGUUUUAGAUGUGUUCAAGCUGAUUCAGAAGGCAUGUGGCGCCUCCCGCAGCAAGUUGGUGCGCGUGGCUUCGCUAGCAGCCGCGGCCGCCGCCUCCUCUCGUCGUAGCGGUCCAGCACGUUGAAGGAUAGAUACCCUUCCGAGCAACAAAAAAGCUUUACAAUUAAACAUUGAUUCAUUUUUUUCAA